rnacentral:rRNA from 1 species
UACGUAGGCAGCGAGCGUUGUUCGGAGUUACUGGGCGUAAAGCGCGCGUAGGCGGUUCUUUAAGUUGAUUGUGAAAUCUUCACGGCUUAACCGGAAAACUGCGGUCAAGACUGGAGAACUGGAGAUUGGGAGAGGGAAGUGGAAUUCCUGGUGUAGCGGUGAAAUGCGUAGAUAUCAGGAGGAACACCCAUGGCGAAGGCAGCUUCCUGGCCCAAUUCUGACGCUGAGGUGCGAAAGCGUGGGUAGCGAACGGG